GCCAGGUAGCUCAGUUGGUACGAGCGUCCGCCUGAAAAGCGGAAGGUCGCCGGUUCGAUCCCGGCCCUGGCCACCAU
rnacentral:tRNA from 1 species